GUGGGCUAAUCCUCUCUGGUGACUGCAGGUCAGACUCUCCUGGCCAUUGUGCCAAAUAUGGCACCUACUCCUUGAUCGAGGACAGAAUAAACAAGGUUUUGGAUCUUCAACUUGUCCAGAGCUCAGAGGUUCCAAGCAGCACCUGGUGUGAACUAGAG